UUUAAAGGGCUGUGGAAUCAAAGGCCAGUGGCGGACAUGGGCCUCAUUCUCACUCGUCCAACUUCUCUUUCCAGCAAACCAUACCUUUUCUGCAAUUGUAGCUCAUCAUGUCAGAUGAAUGAAACUGAUUAAGGCAACUCUCUCCUGCCAACUUCACCAUAUUUGGAUGCAGCGUCUCAUCCUUCCAUCUCACCUGUCCAGAAAUGAUGCCUGGGCUGUGAGACCAUUCCUGUGGCCAUGAAGGAAACCUCCAAAGAAUCAGAGACCUUGGUGCUAGCAUUGCUGAGUCCCUGAAUCAGUGCCAACAACAACCCACCUACAUAUUUUGCAUCCUCUAUGAAAAACAACCCCCUUUGAAUUCAGGUUUUCUAACACAUACAGCCAAAAGCCUACCUGGCUGAUACAUUUAUAGACUACAUUGCUGUUGAGACUGCCCGAGAGACACCUGUCUGCAGAGCUCAUGUUUACCCAUUAUCACUUGUGCCUGCUUUCUUUUCCCAGGGUAUAACGAGUUCCUUGGUGUGCUCCUGUUGCUAUUUUCAGUCUUCCACCUCUCCUUGCAUAAGUCAAAACUUGGGAAUAUCCAGGCAGCCUUUCCUUCCAGCUCUUCCCCAUACCUUCUGCUUGCUCCCAAGUGCUAAUCUCACUUCCAGCUAUUUAUGCUGCAGGCUCUUCAUUUCUUGCCUUCCAAGCAGCCACAUUCUGGGUGAUACAGAACCAGGGUACCUGUUACUGGUGCUACUAAAUACCCCAACACAAACAUCACAAGAUUCCUUUUCAGUGUCACCAGGAGUAGGGACAUUCAUCUUCCCAUUAAAGACAAAUUAACCACUUGCCUGUCUCUACCUUGUCAGUUUUACUACCUUAGUCUCCACCGGUUCUCAAAAAGCCCUCCUGCCCACUCAGUCCUUCAUCCCUGCCUGCUCUCUGUUGAAGUCUGUUCCGCUCCAUACCCAACAACACUGGUAAAGGCUGCGCCAUCUUUGAAUAGUGUUUCCAUUUAUUAUUUUGUGUUAUUGUUAUUUAGACAAUCAAAUCGUUCACUUAAAUGAAUACAUUAUGAACAUAUUUUAAAUUGCCUAUGGACUUAUUUAAGAUAACAAUUCCUCAGAUCUAAAAUUAUUUACCCAUUUUUGUUAAAAAAGGAAAAAUUGGGGCUUGAAUUAGG
rnacentral:lncRNA from 1 species